rnacentral:rRNA from 1 species
UACGAAGGGUGCAAGCGUUAAUCGGAAUUACUGGGCGUAAAGCGUGCGCAGGCGGUUUUGUAAGUCUGUCGUGAAAGCCCCGGGCUCAACCUGGGAAUUGCGAUGGAGACUGCAAGGCUUGAAUCUGGCAGAGGGGGGUAGAAUUCCACGUGUAGCAGUGAAAUGCGUAGAGAUGUGGAGGAACACCGAUGGCGAAGGCAGCCCCCUGGGUCAAGAUUGACGCUCAUGCACGAAAGCGUGGGGAGCAAACGGG